rnacentral:rRNA from 1 species
GACGAACGCUGGCGGCGUGCCUAAUACAUGCAAGUAGAACGCAGUUGCGAAUGGGGGAGUAACACGUAGGUAACUGCCUGGAAGCGGGGGAUAACUAUUGGAAACGAUAGCUAAAACCCCAUACUACCAGAUGGACUUGCGUUGUAUUGGGUAGUUGGUGAGGUAACGGCUCACCAAGGCAACGAUACAUAUCCUACUUGCGAGGGGUGUCCGGCAACCUGGGACUGAGACACGGCCCAGACCUCUACGGGGGGCAGCCGGAGGGAAUCUGCGGCAAUGGGGGGAAACCUGAACGAGCAACGCCGCGGGAGUUAAGAAGGUUUUCGGAUCGGAAAGCUCUGUUGUUAGGGAAGCGGUACUUAACCAGAAAGGGACGGCUAACUACGUGCCAGCAGCCGCGGUAAUAC